rnacentral:rRNA from 1 species
GAUGAACGCUAGCGGCAGGCCUAAUACAUGCAAGUCGAGGGGCAGCACGGUAGCAAUACUGGUGGCGACCGGCAAACGGGUGCGGAACACGUACGCAACCUUCCUUUAAGUGGGGGAUAGCCCAUAGAAAUGUGGAUUAAUACCUCGUAAUAUUGUUGGUCGGCAUCGACUGACAAUUAUAGCUCCGGCGCUUAAAGAUG